rnacentral:misc_RNA from 1 species
GAAAUGCGAUACGUAAUGUGAAUUGCAAAUUCAGUGAAUCAUCGAGUCUUUGAACGCACAUUGCGCCCCCUGGUAUUCCGGGGGGCAUGCCUGUCCGAGCGUCAUUUCUGCCCUCAAGCACGGCUUGUGUGUUGGGCCCCGUCCUCCGAUCCCGGGGGACGGGCCCGAAAGGCAGCGGCGGCACCGCGUCCGGUCCUCGAGCGUAUGGGGCUUUGUCACCCGCCCUGUAGGCCCGGCCGGCGCUUGCCGAUCAACCCAAAUUUUUAUCCAGGUUGACCUCGGAUCAGGUAGGGAUACCCGCUGAACUUAAGC